rnacentral:rRNA from 1 species
AGGCCCCUUCGGGGGUACACGAGUGGCGAACGGGUGAGUAACACGUGAGCAACCUGCCCUUGACUCCGGGAUAACAGUUGGAAACAGCUGCUAAUACCGGAUAUGACCUUCGAUGACAUCAUCUGAAGGUGGAAAGCGCUUUAGCGGUCAAGGAUGGGCUCGCGGCCUAUCAGCUUGUUGGUGAGGUAACGGCUCACCAAGGCUUCGACGGGUAGCCGGCCUGAGAGGGCGACCGGCCACACUGGGACUGAGAUACGGCCCAGACUCCUACGGGAGGCAGCAGUGGGGAAUAUUGCACAAUGGGCGCAAGCCUGAUGCAGCAACGCCGCGUGCGGGAUGACGGCCUUCGGG